rnacentral:rRNA from 1 species
GAUGAACGCUGACAGAAUGCUUAACACAUGCAAGUCUUUGGCGAAUCUGUGCUUGCACAGGCUAGCCAAGGCGGACGGGUGAGUAACGCGUAAAAAACUUGCCCUGCAGACAGGGAUAACAGACGGAAACGACUGAUAACACCUGAUACAGUUGCCGGCACGCAUGUGCCUGGCAAUGAAAAGAGAUGCUGCAGGAGAGCUUUGCGUCCUAUUAGCUUGUUGGUGAGGUGACGGCUCACCAAGGCGAUGAUAGGUAGCCGGCCUGAGAGGGUGAACGGCCACAAGGGGACUGAGAUACGGCCCUUACUCCUACGGGAGGCAGCAGUGGGGAAUAUUGGACAAUGGGGGCAACCCUGAUCCAGCAAUUCUGUGUGCACGAAGAAGGUUUUCGGAUUGUAAAGUGCUUUCAGCAGGGAAGAAGAAAGUGACGGUACCUGCAGAAGAAGCGACGGCUAAAUACGUG